CCUACGGGGGGCAGCAGUGAGGAAUAUUGGUCAAUGGCCGUAAGGCUGAACCAGCCAAGUCGCGUGAAGGAAGAAGGAUCUAUGGUUUGUAAACUUCUUUUAUAGGGGAAUAAAGGUAUCCACGUGUGGAUAUUUGCAUGUACCCUAUGAAUAAGCAUCGGCUAACUCCGUGCCAGCAGCCGCGGUAAUACGGAGGAUGCGAGCGUUAUCCGGAUUUAUUGGGUUUAAAGGGUGGGUAGGUUGUUGUUUAAGUCAGGGGUGAAAGUUUGUGGCUCAACCAUAAAAUUGCCGUUGAAACUGGCAGACUUGAGUGUGUUUGAGGUAGGCGGAAUGCGUGGUGUAGCGGUGAAAUGCAUAGAUAUCACGCAGAACUCCGAUUGCGAAGGCAGCUUACUAAGCCAUAACUGACACUGAAGCACGAAAGCGUGGGGAUCAAACAGGAUUAGAUACCCCUGUAGUC
rnacentral:rRNA from 1 species